CCUACGGGAGGCAGCAGUGAGGAAUAUUGGUCAAUGGGCUUACGCCUGAACCAGCCAAGUCGCGUGAGGGAAGACUGCCCUAUGGGUUGUAAACCUCUUUUGUCAGGGAGCAAUUGGCGCUACGUGUAGCGUUAUCUAGAGUACCUGAAGAAAAAGCAUCGGCUAACUCCGUGCCAGCAGCCGCGGUAAUACGGAGGAUGCGAGCGUUAUCCGGAUUUAUUGGGUUUAAAGGGUGCGUAGGCGGAAUGCCAAGUCAGCGGUAAAAUCGCGGGGCUCAACCUCGCUCCGCCGUUGAAACUGGCGUUCUUGAGUGGGCGAGAAGUAUGCGGAAUGCGUGGUGUAGCGGUGAAAUGCAUAGAUAUCACGCAGAACUCCGAUUGCGAAGGCAGCAUACCGGCGCCCAACUGACGCUGAAGCACGAAAGCGUGGGUAACGAACAGGAUUAGAUACCCCAGUAGUC
rnacentral:rRNA from 1 species